UCUCUGGUGGCUCAGACGGUAAAGUGUCUGUCUACAAUGCAGGAGACCCAGGUUCGAUCCCUGGGUUGGGAA
rnacentral:tRNA from 1 species